UAAGGAUUAUGUUUAAAAUAAAAAUAUUUGGCGGCUAUUUAUAUUAAAGGGAUUUGCUUUUUAUCGACUUACCUCGUUUAUUAUUAUUUAGUUUGUUUUUGUAUACCGUCAUUUAGAUAAUUUUUAUAUAAUUAAUUAUGGUUAUAAUUUUCUAGAUAUUAGAUCAAGGUGCAGAUAUAGUUAACUUCAAGUUAAUGACAAUAAUUUAUUAUUAAACAGUAUUUAUAUAAUUAAUUAAAAUAGGUGGAUUUAAGUGUAAUAUAUAAAAUAUUUGAAUUAAAUUAGUAGUGUACACA
rnacentral:rRNA from 1 species